UAGAGAUAGCUGGUUAUUCAGGAAAAGGAUAUUAGUCCAAUUUUAAUCCUCUACAUAACUUUAAAUAUAUCCAUAGGCUUAAAAUUUAUUCAAAUAAGGUACAGCCUAUUUGAACCAGGGUACAACCUCUAUUAGCGGGUAAUGUUUAAACCAAUGUGACCAAGUAGGCCUAAAAGCAGCCAUCUUUCAAAAAGCGUUAAAGCUUUACCACACCUUACCACCAAUCCCAACCUAAACCCAAAACCUCUCACCACCUACUGAAUGACUCCAUAUUAAUAUGGAAACCCUUAUGUUAAAACUAGUAACAAGAAUAACCAUUCUCCUUAAAUGUAAGUGUAAGCCAAAAUGGACCCCCCGCCGGCACUUAUCGUCAAUGAAUCUACAGUAACAACUCUCACCAAGAAAAUUCUACUGCACUCAACGUUAACCUUACACAAGAACUUUUCUGGAAAGAUUAAAAAAAGAGGAAGGAACUCGGCAAGCAUUAAUCCCGCCUGUUUACCAA
rnacentral:rRNA from 1 species